rnacentral:rRNA from 1 species
GAAAAUUACAAGCACGAGCUUAAAACUCAAAGAACUUGGCGGCGCUUUAAACCCACCUAGAGGAGCCUGUCCUAUAACCGACAACCCCCGUUAAACCUCACCUCUCUUAGCCUUCAGUCUAUAUACCGCCGCCGUCAGCUCACCCCAUAAAGGCCCAUUAGUAAGCAAAAACGGUUUAGCCCUAAACGUCAGGUCGAGGUAUAACUUAUAGGGAGGGAAGAGAUGGGCUACACUUCCAACCCCGGAUUUUACAAAUUUAUACUGAAAACAAACAUGAAGAAGGAUUUAGCAGUAAAUAAUAAAUAGAGCAUUUU